rnacentral:rRNA from 1 species
UACGUAGGGUGCAAGCGUUGUUCGGAAUCAUUGGGCGUAAAGCGCGUGCAGGCGGUUAGUUAAGUCGAGUGUGAAAUCCCUGGGCUUAACCGAGGAAGUGCAUUUGAAACUAACUAGCUAGAAGACAGUAGAGGAAGGUGGAAUUCCAAGUGUAGAGGUGAAAUUCGUAGAUAUUUGGAGGAAUACCGGCGGCGAAGGCGGCCUUCUGGGCUGUUCUUGACGCUGAGACGCGAAAGCGUGGGUAGCAAACAGG